AAACCGCUUAGGGGUUAAGCCCGAUGAACCUGAAUAUCUGAUGUGAGAAAUUCAAUACUGUAUAUUUUUUAUUUUAUAAAAUUUAUAUGGUAUGCACUUUUCUCAUAGUAAGACAUUGUAAUCCAUUAAUGUUAUAUCUCUUUAUUGAGAUGAUUUAACAUAAGGACAAAAUGUAUUGGAUUAUUCUAUCAGUGAUAUUUAUUUAUCAUAUGAAUAAAAUUCGUUUUGUACCUGUUUAAAUAGUUGAUGGAUUUUAUGACAAUCAUGCUUGCAAAAAUUUAUUUUUGCGUUUCGUAUUAUUAAUUUUUAAUUGGUAAUAACUUGAAAUGGCAUGUAUUUGAUUAACAAUGCGAUAGAUUUGGGAUGCCUUCGGGACCCGUCUUGUAACACGGACCAAGGAGUCUAACAUAUGUGCAAGUCAUUGAGUAUUUUGUUGAAACCUAAUGGCGUAAUUAAAAUGACUAUAUUUUAAUUUGGGAUUACAAGUGAUGUUCAAAUUUAUGCAUUAUUUUUCAAUCCCGGGGCGUUCUAUACGAACAUGAUGUAAGCAAUUAUGUCCUCUGUUCAAGAGCGUACCUUGAGCACAUAUGCUGUGACCCGAAAGAUGGUGAACUAUACCUGAUCAGGUUGAAGUCAGGGGAAACCCUGAUGGAAGACCGAAGCAGUUCUGACGUGCAAAUCGAUUGUCAGAAUUGGGUAUAGGGGCGAAAGACCAAUCGAACCAUCUAGUAGCUGGUUCCCUCCGAAGUUUCCCUCAGGAUAGCUGGUGCAAUUAUAUAUAAUAUAUAUAAUCUUAUCUGGUAAAGCGAAUGAUUAGAGGCAUUGGGGCCGAAACGACCUCAACCUAUUCUCAAACUUUAAAUGGGUAAGAACCUCAUCUUUCUUGAUCUGAAGAUAUUGGGGUUUAGAUAUAUUGUGCCCAGUGGGCCACUUUUGGUAAGCAGAACUGGCGCUGUGGGAUGAACCAAACGUGAUGUUACGACGCCUAAAUUAAUGACUCAUGUUGAUACCAUGAAAGGCGUUGGUUGCUUAAAACAGCAGGACGGUGGACAUGGAAGUCGUAAUCCGCUAAGGAGUGUGUAACAACUCACCUGCCGAAGCAACUAGCCCUUAAAAUGGAUGGCGCUUAAGUCAUAUGUCUAUACAUCACCGCUAGAAUAGAAAGAUUUUUUUGGUAAAACAAAAAAAUUUAUGAAAUUCUAGUGAGUAGGAGGGUACAAUGGUGUGCGCAGAAGUGCUUGGCGUGAGCCUGCAUGGAGCCGCCAUUGGCACAGAUCUUGGUGGUAGUAGCAAAUAAUCGAAUGAGAUCUUGGAGGACUGAAGUGGAGAAGGGUUUCGUGUGAACAGUGGUUGAUCACGAGUUAGUCGGUCCUAAGCCCUAUGCGAAAGCUGUUUAAAUUAUGUU
rnacentral:rRNA from 1 species